rnacentral:rRNA from 1 species
AUACGGAGGAUGCGAGCGUUAUCCGGAUUUAUUGGGUUUAAAGGGAGCGUAGGCGGGAGCUUAAGUCAGCGGUUAAAUGGUGCGGCUCAACCGUGCCCUGCCGUUGAAACUGGGUUUCUUGAGAGUGCAAGAGGCGGAUGGAAUUCAUGGUGUAGCGGUGAAAUGCUUAGAUAUCAUGAAGAACUCCGAUUGCGAAGGCAGUCCGCUGGGGCACGUCUGACGCUGAUGCUCGAAGGUGCGGGAAUCAAACAGGAUUAGAUACCCUGGUAGUCCGCACGGUAAACGAUGAUUACCCGCUGUCGGCGGUAGACAGUCGGCGGCCAAGCGAAAGCGAUAAGUAAUCCACCUGGGGAGUACGCCGGCAACGGUGAAACUCAAAUGAAUUGGCGGGG